rnacentral:rRNA from 1 species
GACGAACGCUGGCGGCGUGCUUAACACAUGCAAGUCGAACGGUGAACCUCUUCGGAGGGGGUCAGUGGCGAACGGGUGAGUAACACGUGGGCAACCUGCCCCCGGCUCUGGGAUAACUCCAAGAAAUUGGGGCUAAUACCGGAUGUUCACCGCUUCCCGCAUGGGUGGUGGUGGAAAGGGUUUCCGGCUGGGGAUGGGCCCGCGGCCUAUCAGCUUGUUGGUGGGGUAGUGGCCUACCAAGGCGACGACGGGUAGCCGGCCUGAGAGGGUGACCGGCCACACUGGGACUGAGACACGGCCCAGACUCCUACGGGAGGCAGCAGUGGGGAAUAUUGCGCAAUGGGCGGAAGCCUGACGCAGCGACGCCGCGUGGGGGAUGACGGCCUUCGGGUUGUAAACCUCUUUCAGCAGGGACGAAGCGCAAGUGACGGUACCUGCAGAAGAAGCACCGGCCAACUACGUG